GAGUCCACUGAAGCAAGAGCCAGACCCAAGAUGCCUCCACCACCCAGUCCUCCGGAGGGGAGAGACUGCACUCAGUUUAGACCCUGGGCCUAGAUCACAGGGAUUAGAGUCCAGCCAACUAGCCUUGUCGGCCAGGCCUGGCCACUUCCUGCCCUUUCUCUGGAGAGCAGCUUUUACCCUCUCAAAUACCCUUUUCCCUAAGCGUCUUCUCAGAGACCAAAGAUUCUUAAAGACAUCUGAUCCCUUACCAAAGGUCAAUGAAAAUCAGGAAAUGAAAACGAAAACGGAUCCUCACCGCUCUACGUUCAGUGCUCCCAUUUUUCAGGCUGCAAGGAGACUUUGAGCUGAGGCUAUAGCUGGGAAAGCUGCCCUGGCCUGUGAGAUGCCGCAGAGGGGGUGAGUGUCCUGUCGCUGGAAACGUUCAGUCGUUCCCCAAUAGCGGCAGUGCUGUCGCAGGUCCUGCCAGCUCUUGACCAAGCCGUGGUUCUAAGCCCGAACACCUGGAAGGCUCAAGGCAUGCUCUUCCUUCCUUCUCCUGCCCCAGUGUCAAAUGCAAAAACACCGCACUCGAAGUCCCGGCUCCUGCACUCAAGAAGGCAGACCCUCGCACGAACAGUAGGCCUGCUGCGAAGGAUGGUCAGGCCUGAGAGGGGACCUCGGGUCCCUUUUCUUCCACAAGGCUGUGCCAGAAGAGCCCAAGUUGCUAGGAGCAGGCCACCACAGCUCAGACCUGGUGCCUAAUAAAACCACACCGCCUCGGAAACCACGUGUCUGCUUUCCAGAAGAGUCCCGUUAGGCUCCCGUUAAAAACAAGGGUGUUCUGGGGCCAGCAAGUGGUGUGGAGGUUAAAGCAGCUGGAUCCCACAUGGCCAACUGCA